rnacentral:rRNA from 1 species
CCUACGGGAGGCAGCAGUGGGGAAUUUUGGACAAUGGGCGCAAGCCUGAUCCAGCCAUGCCGCGUGUGGGAAGAAGGCCUUCGGGUUGUAAACCACUUUUGUCAGGGAAGAAACGGUUCUUACUAAUAUUGGGAACUAAUGACGGUACCUGAAGAAUAAGCACCGGCUAACUACGUGCCAGCAGCCGCGGUAAUACGUAGGGUGCAAGCGUUAAUCGGAAUUACUGGGCGUAAAGCGUGCGCAGGCGGCUUUGCAAGACAGAUGUGAAAUCCCCGGGCUCAACCUGGGAACUGCAUUUGUGACUGCAUGGCUAGAGUACGGUAGAGGGGGAUGGAAUUCCGCGUGUAGCAGUGAAAUGCGUAGAUAUGCGGAGGAACACCGAUGGCGAAGGCAAUCCCCUGGACCUGUACUGACGCUCAUGCGCGAAAGCGUGGGGAGCAAACAGGAUUAGAUACCCUGGUAGUCCACGCCCUAAACGAUGUCAACUGGUUGUUGGACGGCUUGCUGUUCAGUACGAAGCUAACGCGUGAGUUGACCGCCUGGGGNGCGCGCGAGUGAAGUAAGUAGAGUAGAGNGNGAGAGNGCGAGACGACGACGAGGGAGGAGG